GACGUAGGGCGCGAGCGUUGUCCGGAUUUAUUGGGCGUAAAAGAGCUCGUAGGCGGUUUGUCGCGUCUGCCGUGAAAGUCCGGGGCUCAACCCGGAAACUGCUUUGCGAACUGGCAGACUAGAGGAAGGUAGAGGUAAGUGGAAUUCCCGGUGUAGCGGUGACAUGCAUUGAUACCGGGAGGAACACCCAUGGCGAAGGCAGCUUACUGGACCUUAUCUGACGCUGAGGCGCGAAAAGCGUGGGUAGCAAACAGG
rnacentral:rRNA from 1 species